GUAGAGUAGCCCUAAACUCGGUGAGGCGCGACGGGAGUUGUAGUUCCGCCACCUCGCGGGCUCCGUUUACGGGCGGUUUCCCAGGAGUUGAAGCCCCGCGCGCAGCCUAGCUGGGCACACCUCCCUCGGCGCUCUGCUUAGAAGCCGCUGCUCUUACUGCAGGGACGUAUUUGAUGCUGGUCCGUGCAUUUGGCGACACGUACUGGAGACUCCCUUGGAAAUGGACUCCAUUAACGUGAAACGGAGCGUUUUAGAGCAACCAGGAGUGACCGCUGUUUACCGAGCAUUUUCUCUGAAGCACGUACUGAGCUACGUGCUCUCAAUUAACUACAUUCGUUUAAUCCUGUGAAGUCGUGAUUAUUUAGCCUUAUUUUACAGAUGAGGACACUACAUGCCAACAAAAAAGCUCAACUUGAAGCAUAAAAGGAGCUAACCAUGCAGAGAUCUGGAGAUGGAAGAGAAAGGCUCUGAAGCAGAAAAUGUGCUUGCUAAAGUUGGAAGGACGGAAGAAGCAGGUGGAAGGAGCCCCAGGGAAAGAGAAGAACUGUGGUGGUAGUAAGCAGCACGUGCAUUCAUAGGACCUUCAUGCCUGGAACUCUGAAGAUUUUAAUCCUGGGUUGCUGUCAUGGUGGUGAUGAGUCUCAGAACCUGAGACUCUUAAAUCUCAGAACCAUGGAGCCUGCAUGUGGCUAAGAGCUUGGGCUCUACCCUCAGAGUCUGAACCCUUAUUUUUGUCUAAGGCUAGCAGUAUGUGACACCAUCUCUUUUGUGAUGCUGGACAGUGGCGAUGGGCCACAGCUCCCAGUCAGCCACGAUUACAAAGGUAAACAACUGAUAA